UACGUAGGUGGCAAGCGUUGUCCGGAAUUAUUGGGCGUAAAGCGCGCGCAGGCGGUCCCUUAAGUCUGAUGUGAAAGCCCACGGCUCAACCGUGGAGGGUCAUUGAAAACUGGGGGACUUGAGUACAGAAGAGGAAAGCGGAAUUCCACGUGUAGCGGUGAAAUGCGUAGAGAUGUGGAGGAACACCAGUGGCGAAGGCGACUCACUGGCCCGAUACUGACGCUGAGGCGCGAAAGCGUGGGGAGCAAACAGG
rnacentral:rRNA from 1 species